UACGGGGGGGGCAAGCGUUGUUCGGAAUUACUGGGCGUAAAGGGCUCGGAGGCGGCCAACCAAGUCGGAUGUGAAAUCCCCAGGCUUAACCUGGGAACUGCAUCCGAUACUGGAUGGCUUGAAUCCGGGAGAGGGAUGCGGAAUUCCAGGUGUAGCGGUGAAAUGCGUAGAUAUCUGGAGGAACACCGGUGGCGAAGGCGGCAUCCUGGACCGGCAUUGACGCUGAGGAGCGAAAGCCAGGGGAGCGAACGGG
rnacentral:rRNA from 1 species